rnacentral:rRNA from 1 species
GACGAACGCUGGCGGCGUGCUUAACACAUGCAAGUCGAACGGAAAGGCCCUGCUUUUGUGGGGUGCUCGAGUGGCGAACGGGUGAGUAACACGUGAGUAACCUGCCCUUGACUUUGGGAUAACUUCAGGAAACUGGGGCUAAUACCGGAUAGGAGCUCCUGCUGCAUGGUGGGGGUUGGAAAGUUUCGGCGGUUGGGGAUGGUCUCGCGGCUUAUCAGCUUGUUGGUGGGGUAGUGGCUUACCAAGGCUUUGACGGGUAGCCGGACUGGGAGGGUGACCGGCAACAUAGGGACGGAGAUACGGCCCAGACUCAUACGGGAGGCAGCAGGGGGGAAUAUUGCACAAUGGGCGGAAGCGUGAUGCAGCAACGCCGCGUGGGGGAUGACGGCCUUCGGGUUGUAAACCGCUUUCGCCUGUGACGAAGCGUGAGUGACGGUAAUGGGUAAAGAAGCACCGGCUAACUACGU